rnacentral:rRNA from 1 species
UAGAUCUGAGUAUAUCAAUACUACCUUGUUCAGAACUUAAAGAGAAAUCUUGAGUUUAUGGACUUCAGGGGGAGUAUGGUCACAAGGCUGAAACUUAAAGGAAUUGACGGAAGGGCACACCAGGAGUGGAGCCUGCGGCUUAAUUUGACUCAACACGGGAAAACUUACCAAGACCGAACAGUAGAAGGAAUGACAGAUUAAGAGUUCUUUCAUGAUUUAUUGGGUAGUGGUGCAUGGCCGUUCUUAGUUGGUGGAGUGAUUUGUCAGGUUAAUUCCGGUAACGAACGAGACUGAAACCUAUUAAUUAGUUUUCUGCCUAUAAGACAGAAAUGUUCGCAAGAACAGGUGCGUAAGUACCACUUCUUAAAGGGACACAUUUCAAUUGUCCUAUUUUAAUUGUUAGUUAUCUAAUUUCG